GAAGGGUUCCCUUUUCUCCAGGUCCAGCUCCCCCCCCUCAUAUGGGAGAGCUGGACCAGGAACGACUGACCAGACAGCAAGAACUCACAGCCUUAUACCAGAUGCAGCACCUGCAGUACCAGCAGUUUUUAAUACAACAACAAUAUGCACAGGUUUUGGCCCAACAGCAGAAAGCAGCCCUGUCUUCCCAGCAGCAGCAGCAGUUGGCACUUCUUCUUCAACAGUUUCAGACCUUGAAGAUGAGAAUAUCUGAUCAGAACAUCAUUCCCUCAGUAACUAGGUCUGUGUCCGUGCCAGAUACUGGCUCUAUCUGGGAGCUUCAGCCAACAGCUUCACAGCCUACAGUUUGGGAAGGUGGUAGUGUAUGGGAUCUUCCUCUGGACACCACGACACCAGGCCCUGCCCUGGAACAGCUUCAGCAGCUAGAGAAGGCCAAAGCUGCAAAGGUCUGAAACUCAUUCUUCUGCAACAGUGCAUUGUCAUCUGGCUGCAGGACAUAAACAUUGCUGUUUAUUCAUCUCUCUAGCUAGCUAUGCUUUUUACUUUCAGCUUACUGCUGCUUAGCUGGUAUAAGUACAUUCAUAUUGUAUCUUUACUGUGCUCUCUUCUCCCAAAAAA
rnacentral:sRNA from 1 species